GGUGAACGCUGGCGGCGUGCCUAACACAUGCAAGUCGAGCGAGGUUACUGUUUUGGAUCCCUUCGGGGUGAAGAAGCUUUAACCUAGCGGCGGACGGGUGAGUAACGCGUGGGUAACCUACCCCAAAGUCCGGGAUAACAGCGGGAAACCGCUGCUAAUACCGGAUGCCUUUACCUUGGGGCAUCUUGAGGUAAAGAAAGGCAACGCUUUGGGAUGGGCCCGCGUCCCAUUAGCUAGUUGGUGAGGUAACGGCUCACCAAGGCGACGAUGGGUAGCCGGCCUGAGAGGGUGGACGGCCACACUGGGACUGAGACACGGCCCAGACUCCUACGGGAGGCAGCAGUAGGGAAUAUUGCGCAAUGGACGGAAGUCUGACGCAGCGACGCCGCGUGAGCGAUGAAGGUCUUCGGAUCGUAAAGCUCUGUCCUUGGGGAAGAAGGCGAAAGCUUGACGGUACCCAAGAAGAAAGCCCCGGCUAACUACGUG
rnacentral:rRNA from 1 species